UAUAAAAGGCGUGGCCGGUGCGGGCGGCGGCUGCAGUUGUCACCGGCAGCAGCAGAGGCAGGGCGAGAAGGGGGAAGGUGCUCUGGUCCCGGGACCGUCACUCCCCGCCGGCCUUUAACGGAGCCCUUUCCCCUCCCUCCGUCUCCUCCAUCCCUGCCGCCAUGACCACCACGACCACCUUCUCGGGCAUGGACCCCAGUGGCAGGAACAGCUCCAGAGUACUGCGCCCUCCUGGUGGUGGGUCCAACUUUUCAUUGGGUUUUGAUGAGCCAAAAGAACAACCUGUGCGAAGGAACAAAAUGGCAUCCAGCAUCUUUGGACCUCCUGAAGAAAACCCACCUUCUUGGGCUAAAUCAUCGGGGGCUAAGCCGGGUGAAGUCAGAGAAGACUGUGAGUCAUCUGGGCCACAAAGAAGAAACUCAACUGAUGCAAACUGCGGAGACUUUGUAGAUCCGAAGGGAGGAGAUGGUGGUGUUGAAACUUCUGAGCACAGAAGCUGAGCACCAUGAAUAAUGCAGCCGAUAUCAGGAAAAAACUGGAGGUAUAGAAGACACAGUGGAAAUUGCUAGUUAUGUCCACCAGGAGACCUGAAACAGGAAUCACGGUUUAGUCAAAGAGAAGAUGCAUACUAAAGGCAACUGUAUGACAUUUAUGUAAAUGUUAAACCUAAAUCACUUGUCAAACUGCCAUAUACAAGCAUUCACAGAUGAGUUAAGUUCUCUUGCAUAGAUUCUAGAGCUCCUUUGUUUGUAGUCACUUCUCAGGUGGUGUUUCUGCUUCUGUACAAAGCAUUUCUCAAUAAACUGAGAAAUCAGGAAAGAAAGGAAGCUGUAAUUUUUUUCCCAGUCUCCUGAUUCAUUGUGUUUACUCAGCAGAGGAUCUCUGUGUCACUGCCACUCACUGGAUUUUGGAAUAAGUAACCUGCUUACAUCCCAGGUCAGAACACAGAGCAAGUAAACAGAGAACUAUCUCAAAAAUCAAUGUGUUUUAGUCUCUAAACUGAAACCUCAUCUUCUUUUAAUAGUGCGUAAUCAGGGUGAGGAAAAUUCACAGCACAGCAAGUAUUAUAACUAAUAUUAAGUGUCUCAAUAUAAAACAUUUAGAAGAGAGGUAUAUUAAAUGAGUAUUUUAACAUUAAUCCUAGAGAUGGAAAGAUGAUAUUCAAGUCACACAUGUGGUGCCGCCUCUACAGGCUACAUCUAUAUAUGGGAUGCUGGAAUAAUGUUUGUUUCCUGCAGCAUUCUUUGUUAAGAAUUGGCCAUGUUUCCUUUCAUAGUGGGUUUUCUUUAGCAGACUUCAGGAGUCCAAAUAAAAAUGGAGCUGUUCUUACUGUGCUUUGCUGUGCCUAUCUGCCUUUACUAUCAAAUGUCCAAGAAAACACUUUUUUCACUUUGAAAAAAGUGACUGACACUCUAAUGCCUGGUAGUACUGUGAAAUAUCGUGCAUAUUAUCAUCCCAUUCUUAGAAUAGGCAGAUAUUUUACUGCUGAAUGACACACAAUUCAUUGUCUAGAGAAGAGAACUGAAACCCAGAAUUGAUUCAUGCUCAGGUUUGUAUUUCUUGCUUGUCUUUCUUUUGAAUGUGCUGCUAUACUGCAGGAGCAGCUGUGUCUUCAGCAGGUCACUUUAGCACUGUUUGGAGUGAACCUGUGAUGUUGUGAAUAAUAUAUUGGAUUGGGGGCCGUAACUGACUCCCUGUCUCCAGAGAAGAAUGAAUAAACUCUAGGGCUCGGAAGGAAGGUUUCUCUCACCUGUGAGAGGAGGUCCAAUGAGGAGAGUGAUGCUCUCCAGGAUGGUGAAGAGCCCUAAAGCACUUGAGAACCUUUCCAUCUGCACCACAUCCAUCAGCACCUGGAAGACGAGCGCCCCGAUGCCACUCAUGGCUAUGCUGGUGAUGAUGCAGUAGAUGAUGAGCACACUGAACUUGGCUGAAAUGACACAAAUGAAAUUGCUCAGCCCGCAGAGGAGUGCAGCCAGGCUGAACAGGUAGAUACGUCUGCCUGUGAAGACACUGAGUCCUGAGAGCAGCCCUGUCAAAGGGCGUAUGAAGAUGUUGAUGAACCCGAUAAUGGAGACGAGGAGAGCUGCCCUGCGUUCCUCCACCCCACUGUGGAUGGCAUAAGGCAUGAGGUAGAUGUGGGGUAAUGCAAAACCCAACAUCAUCCAGCUCACUCCAAUAGUAUAAAUCUGGUAACCUUUGUUUUGGCAGAAGAUGUCAAAAGCCAAGUACUUGUGCAACAUCCGGAAGCAUGUAGGCCUGGCUUGCUGCUGGAUCUCUGGGUGGGGAGAAGAUCCUCCGUUGGCCAGCUGUGCCUCUUCUGCUUCUCUCCCUGGCUCCUCCCCAGGCCUGGCUGGCUGUAGAAAUGAUUGAGAUGCAAGCUGAACUGGUCUCAUAAUGGCUCCACAAACGCAACAGUUGAAUAGUAUUCCUCCAAAGAUGAGAAAAGUGUUUCUCCAGCCCAUGUCAUCCAGCAAGUACUGAGAAAGCAGUGGCCACAGUGUGAAACCGAGGGAGACACCCGUGGAUGCCAUGGCAUUGGCCAAGGUUCGCCACCGUACAAAGUAGUAGCCCAACGCAGUCACUCCUGCCUGGAAGCCAAAACAUGAUCCCAGACCUAAGGAAAGAGAGAAAUAGAAAAUGACAGCUCAUGAAGCUUUUGUGGUGCCUUGCAAGGUGAAAAGAGCCCAAAUUCAGGCUGUACUCACAGAUGACUACAUUUACCACUGAGGUAUUUCCUCACCUGACAAGCUGCGCAACCCCCAGUGAUUAAUACUCAGUAGCCCUGCACAAGAGGUGAAGGAGGAUGUUUUGGGUAAAUUAAAUGCUUCGUGUUCUUAGGUAUACUGGAUACACUGAUCUAAGCUGACGUUUGUCUGGGGCACACUGCUGUUCCUAAAAUUGUUAUGAAAUUGUCCAUUAGAAAAACGCCGAGGACUUGUUUUUUAUACUGCCUGCAGCAGAUAGUGCUGUUUUUCUGACACUUUCCUCAUGCUCAGGUAGUUACUCGUUGGUUUUCUCUAUGCAGCACGUGCUGCUUAGCUUGCAAGAUCCAACAGGGUUCAGUCGUGAAGUGACCUGGCUGCAGAUACUCAUUUCUCUGUGUUAGGAAAGAGCAAGAGCAGAGCAACUGAUACAUAAAGGAAAUAUUUGGAGAGGAAAAGUUCCCACCUGUUACUUCUGUUCAAAACCAACACAUUCUUUUGUUAGAGAAAGAUAUCUCCACAUUUCCGCAGACUGGGAGUGGUGAAAUACAAGUGCAGGGAACUUGUGAAGAAAGUUGUCUGAACACAUUACAUUCCAAGAUUGAAAAAAAUUCCUUUCUCAAAAACAAAAGGCUAUGGAGCUACUAAAAAGAGCAGAUGUCUUUGCUCUCCAUCUCACUCAUUAGAAACCCAUAGCUCCAUGUGGCUCACAGAAGAAGCACUUUCCAGUGAGCUUGGGUGGGCCAGGUGUGCGUUAAAGGGGUGUGAAGGGGAAGUCCAUCCAGUAUGUAAUUCCUGCUAAGCUGUGGGUUUUUUGAUUCAUCCUAUUUGUCCGAUGAGUGAAAAACGUGAGCCCGUGGUCUGGACUCUGCUCAUUCUCACCACUUCCCGUCUCAACACCCCCAAAUCAAGCGCAGCAGCUGGAUUUUCCUGCUGUGCUGUGAUACUCACCAGUGAUGAAGCCGGCAGUUAUGUAAAGCUGGCUGAGGGACUUGCAGAAGGAGCUGGACACCAUGCCCGCUCCGCUGAGCAGGCCUCCCAGCAUCACAGUAAACCUGCAGCCAAAUCGCUUAACCAGAAAGCUGCAGAGGGGCCCUGGAAGCAGUCAAAGAAGCAGAAGGAAAGCAGUUAUGGAGAAAGAAAUUAUCUUGUGCUUGAGAUUGCCCUCUAAUACCUGCUGGACUGCUGCAAUUGUCAAAGCUCGUUGUGUGGUUUAGUCUAGAGACCCUGAGGGUUGUCCCAGCAGUGUCAUGUUACAGAGAAGCCAGAAAUAGAAAAUACAGUCUUUCAUCUUCCCAACUGAUUGGUCAACUUGUCAGCUGAAGGGAAGGCUCCUGUCUUCUGCUUGGUUGUUGGACAUUAGAUAGGAUUUUUAAGCCUCCUUGUGAUAGAGUCUAGGUAAAACUCUUGGAAAUGGAAUGCAAGAGGGACCUUCAGGUGUGACUCAGUGCUUAUAUGAUAUUCUGGGAAUGAUUUGAAAAAGGUUAGGACCUGGACCUGGACUUCUAUGCUACUGAGUAAGAGAUUGUGAGCAGGGUGCUAUUUCUGCUUGCAUGCUUCCACUGUCAUCUCAUUAUGUUUUUCAAAUACUCUGCCACAGAAUUGCCUGAAUUGCCCGUGGCUCCCCUCUACCUAGAUGAAAUUCCCUGCAAGAGGAAGCAGAUCGACUCUGAAACGGAUCAAGGAUGGGAGAAAAAUGUACAUCCUUGAGGAGGAUUAUUUAAAAAUGCAUGGAGAGGCAUAUUUGUGUCUGUGUUGGAAUCAAUCUAUGCUCCAGGCCAUGGCAUCCAAGCUACCGCUUGUGGAGUCUUGCAGCUGUCCUGCAAGUCAUCUCCCCAGGAAAAUAAUAAGGUGUUAUUGCUGGCACAGCUCUUCCCACAUGCUUGUCCUGGCAUAUCUGGCAAGGGUGGGUCAGUAUAACUGUGUCCACUUCUCAGAGGACAUAGGCCUAGGAGCAGCCCGCGCACAUGCCGGUUCCCACUCCCACACCUCCGGCACAAAUAACACAGAGGCGUGAGCAAGACCUCAGUGCAGGUGAGAUCUUCCGGAGGGCCAGACCUCGGGUCUGCCUGUCUUUAGCAGAAACCUGUGUUUUGUUGUGUGCUGACACUGCUGGCAGACUUUACUAAGAAGCAGUUAUGUUAUUUCAUCAGAAAAAACAAUGACCAAAUAGGCUUGGGAGUGUAUGUUUAAGGUCAGUUAAUUCUUUAAUUUUCAUAGACUCAUGGUGAUUUCCAUGCAAUUGUGCCAAAUUGCCAAUUUGUUAUUGUUGCAAAUUUAGGGUGCUUCAUUCUGGGGUAGAAGAUUAGCUCAGACUUGCAGAACGUCAGUGGGAAACAUGCUUCUCUCUGCAUGCUCUGGUAGAAGAGGAGCGGAAGAGAGAGUUUCUUUUUCUGUUCCUAUGAGGAUCCACAAGGAUUUCCAGAUUUUGUUAUCUUUUUUUCUCUGUAACUCUUAAGGUUAUUUAAGCAAAUUCAGCAUGGCUCUAAUUUUCAGAAUUAGCCUUCAGAGAGUGUGGGAAAAUACCCUGUGGUAUCUUUGUGACCUAAAACAAUGGCUGAUUUGAAAUAAAAUCCCCAUAGUCAAGCAAACAAUGGAGUGCUAUUAAAAUUAGGGCUGCAGCUGUUUGUAUUUUGACCUGCUUUAGACAUUUUCACCUCAGACUUCAACUGGCCUUUGAAAAAGUAAUCAGCAGGUUCCGCAAACCAGUGGCUGCAUUCUUCUUCCUCCUGCUGAAGACAUUAAGGUUGGUGCUCCUGUUUAACCCACCCCAGGUUGCCAGAAAUCAUAGACUGAACCCUCCAAAAUCAUGAGAUUGGUUUUAAAAAUCGUAAGGGUUUUUCAUUGUUUGUUCCUGUUAACUUGCUUUCUAGGUUUCAAACAUUAUUUCUCCCUUGCUUGGGGCUUUUGUGCUUUGCUCUGCAAAAAUAAUUCCAGCAAAACUGCUGCAUUCAUACUAAUGUGAGUCUGGAGGGUUAUGUGUGCUUAAGUAUUGAGAAAUGGGAGUCUGCGAGGGCUUGAACUCUUGCAUUUCCCCCACUAAGGACAGUCAUAGGAUCCUGAGGUCUCUUGAAUGAUUCUUACAACAACGUGAUUACCUAUUGCUUUUACCUAGGACCAUUGAAUGGGUAAUGAGCUAUGUUUGGCUUAAUAAGUUAUGAACUAUUGUUUGCGUUGUGCCUUUCCCUGUUUCCCUCCACAGCUCUGCUGGGCUGAGGUUGGCUCUCCUGCACACGAGCGUCUCACUCGACUGAUGGGUCUGAAAAAGGAGUUUUCUGUCCAUUUCCCUUGCUGCUUACUAAUUUUGCAGCAAAUAUUUUUUUUCCUUCAGUUACUCUCAGUUAUAAAGACUAAAGGAGAAGAAAAGCCUGAAGAACCUGUAAGAGGUGCUGGUGCCAUAGCAGAAAGCAGAUUUGGAAAGGGUUCAAAUGCCAAUAUGAUGGAUGCAACCUAAGAACCUGAGUCAAAUAGAGCCUGGGCCACUGCGAAGACGGUCAGAAGUUGCAGCAAAAGCUGUACAUGUCUGGCCUGGGAGGGAGUCUCUUAUCUCUGUUUUUUCACUGUUUCUACUCCCUGGCUUACAGCUGUGUUAAUCCUGCUUUAUGCUCCCGGAGGCAGGUACUCUGCUGCUAUAACAGCCUGCAAUAGCAGAGAAUAACUGGCAAGCCAAGUAACGACUAGCUUGUAAUUUUACUGGUUAUACCUUGUUGAACUGUUAGUGAAUAUGAGUAACAUAAGGCUCUUCUUGUCUACUUUAUAACUUCCAUAUCUAUUUACUGGUUUGUAUUAUCUCUCACUGUGGUUCCAGCCUCACAAUCAUUUCAUUAAAGAAAGUUGGAGAACUG